rnacentral:rRNA from 1 species
GAUGACGCUGGCGGCGUGCCUAAUACAUGCAAGUAGGACGAGUUGCGAACGGGUGAGUAACGCGUGGUAACCUACCUAUUAGAGGGGGAUAACUAUUGGAAACGAUAGCUAAUACCGCAUACCAUCGGAUGUGCCCAGAUGGGAUUAGCUAGUAGGUGGGGUAACGGCUCACCUAGGCGACGAUCCCUAGCUGGUCUGAGAGGAUGACCAGCCACACUGGAACUGAGACACGGUCCAGACUCCUACGGGAGGUAGCAGUGGGGAAUAUUGCACAAUGGGCGCAAGCCUGAUGCAGCCAUGCCGCGUGUAUGAAGAAGGCCUUCGGGUUGUAAAGUACUUUCAGCGAGGAGGCGUUACUCGCAGAAGAAGCACCGGCUAACUCCGUGCCAGCAGCCGCGGUAAUAC